GAUCCAAAGGACACGAUAGUCUCGAACCAACUCCCACGCAUUUCCUUAUCCACUCGUCAGGUUACCUCUCGAUCUUCUCCCAGUCUCCUCCCGUCGUCUCCAAUGGAACCGCCGGCGGCGGCGCUCCUCUCACCGCCUCCCCAACCCCUCCGAUGCCGUACGGCCCUCGCCUCCUCCCCAGCUGCCGGACCGUCUCUCGCCUCUCUCGACCAAACCUAGGGUUCGCCGCAGCGCCACAUCUCCUCCUGAAAUCCACCACCGGCGCCGUCGUUGGCCCGACCGGCGCCACCCACCCAUACACCUCCCUGCCGCCUCGUCCCCCCUCCACCGCCACUUUGCCCUUCUGCAUCUUCUCCUCCGCCCAGACCCUCCUCUUUUGCGCCUCUUGCAACUCCUGCCGCUGGUCUUCCCCGCGGGCGGCGUUGCCUCCCCCCUCCCCUCGCACUCUCCAAUUAGACUAGAGGGCUUCGCAUAUUCUCAUGGUGUUUUCGCAAGUUAUGAGCCUGGACUUUUCCCUGGCCUGAUCUAAUGAUAGAGCAACGGAAGAUGGUUCUUCUGAUUUUUGUUUCACGCAAGAUUGUUUUGACUGGGGCAAAGGUGAGAGAAGAGAGAUACACUGCGUUCGAGAACAUAUAUUCUAUAGACUGUUUAAAAAUGUCCAGCAAUAGUAUGUAAUAUAAGCUUAGAACUGCAUGGAUGGAGAGGGGGAGAAGGUAAGCAACAUCCUUCCACACGUGAUUGUUAUUUCUGUAACUAUAGGCAUAAAUAGAUUGAGUUUUAGUUUUCUGAUCUGUUUUCUGAAUCAAGUAUGUUUGUUUAGUGUUUAGACAACACAGGUUGAAACUCUUGCAUAUCUGAAACUCUGGUGGUGUCCCAUGGAUAUGAAGUUUGAACUUCCUCCUUAUAGGGUUGAUUUGUGUAUGCACUUUUGUUUUGACAGAGCACUGAACCUUUGUUAACCAGAAUUGACAUUGGCGAGCAUUUUGUGCAAUUGUCUAGCUAAUCAGUUAUCUGAUAUGCCUUAGUUUUCAUCCUUUUUUAUUUAUGUACUAGUAAUUUGUACCGUUGCUAGUAGCGCUCGGAGAGAGGGGAAAUAACCUCUAGUCCAGAUCAACAUGUGCUUGUUCAUAAAAAGGAUGUCAGACUUAUGUUGGAUCCGAGAGAGCAUCGUUCCUAUGCUUUUUGUAGUGUUUUGCUUUUUGUAGUGUUUUGGGUGUUAUUUUGAUUGUAGGUAUUAGUUAGAAUUUUUAAUGCUCCCUCCCUUCGAUCCAUAAUAAGUGUCGCUGAUUGUAGGUAGUGUUCUAAAUCAGUUAUGGAUUGGAGGGGGUAUAUGUUUUGUUCAAGGUGCCAAUCCUCCCCUAUCCCUGGCCGCCUGUUUUUUGUCUAUGAUUUUGCGCCUCCACUUCCCAAGCAAUGCGUGGUGAUAUAGAACUGCAAUGAUCUUUUUUUGUGUAACUAAAGAAUUGGAUCCCAUUUAUUGUUGGAUGCAACUUCAAUUUUUAAAUGUUACAUUUGAGUGAAUUAGAUGUAAAUUUCAGGUUAGGAGUUACUUUACGAUUGUUGCACAAGUGGCACCCGGGGUGCCACCACUGCACGACGCGUGGGUCGCAUCGCUGGGUUUCCGGAAGGAUCUCACCCCGGGCGGCAACGUGCAGGUUGCCUAGCAAGCUACCAGUCCGGAAAGGCUAGCGGGGCUUCGGGGAAUAAUCUUGCCUGGGCACCUCCCAGGAAGGCACUUGCCGGGAGGAGGCGUUCCCGGGCAUAGGUUUCCGCCGCGAGGGCGGGGCCGAGCGAACAAAGCAGCAGCGCCACGUGGGCGCGCGGCAGGCGCCCAGUGUGCAGUUUCGUCAGGACAAGGAGUGAAGCGCACGGCGCAUUUAAUGACCCGACAGGAGGGGGGUUCUGCCCAGGGCUAGUUUUUAGGCCUUAGACCCCUAGCCGUGGGGUUGGCGCUCAUGCAUGCAUGCCAGCGCACCGAGGAGGAGCUGCCCAAGCUCCCUGCUCGCCACUUGUAAUCCAUGCACCGUGGCACUUGUGGCAUCCCCUUGGUUAUAAAAGGAGGACCCCCGCCAACGGUCCAGGGGUUGACUCAUAGUUCAGCACUAGCACUAGCCCAGAGUAGCAAGGAGCACUUAACCAAAAAGAGAGCACCCGGGGACCCUUCCCCCGGCAACUUGUAAACACUCAAUCUUUCGAUAAUACAAGCUACGACAGGCAGGACGUAGGGUUUUACACCUCCGGAUGGCCCGAACCUGGGUAAAAAGCGUUUUCGUGUUCAUUGCAUUCUUACGCUUUGCAUUGGCCUUGCCCACUGCCGAACCUAAAAGGGGGUGCCCGCGCAUCCCCGUGUCGGAGCCACGUGCGACGACAACGAUUCUACUGGAUGUAGUUUCAACAUAUGUCAGUUACUUUCAUGAGUUCCGUAGAUGUAGUUUUAAUGUUAAAAGUUACUUUCCUGAUUUUUUUAUAUAUUUAUGAUGUCAAAAGUUACAUCUACUUGUGAGCUUGGAGAAAGUAAAUUUUGGUAGUUCUGUGGAGUUCUCAUAGAACAAAAGAAGACGGUCCUAUUUUUUUAGAUGUAAUUGUGACGUUAAAAGUUACAUCUACUUGUGACCUAGGAAAGUGUAAAUUUUGGUAGUUGUGUGGAGUUUUCAUAGAACAAAAGAAGAGGGAGAUCUGAUAAAGCAGAGGAGGUGCAGCGAUGGAAUGAAGAGGCGGAUUUUUUUCGUAUCACGCGAGACCACAACAAGAGGAGAGAAAGCAUGUGUUACCUGCUAUUUGGGUACCACACAUGACAGGCAUAGAAGAUGGUCAAUUUUGCUCUUGCCAAUUGUAUGUGAUGCUAAGGGCAUCUCCAACAAUACACAUAAGCAGGUACUAGUGGUAUGCCACGCCAGCAAUUUGAUGACAUGGACGAAAAAGUCGAGGAAAUGCGAUGAAAUGGUUACUUCUGUCAGAAACGAUACCAGCACCAGUACCAACGCACUCGUACCGACUGAAAACGCUAUUGGAGGCCUCCUCGCUGCUACUUAGAGGGGACCCGCCAUAUUGCCCGCGCACACACAGCCAUGCUCUUCCAUCCUAUUCCCUAGCCGGACACACAUGCAACAUUUAAUAUUAUAUUUUGGUGUUUAGUAACAAUUCAAAGUAAUCUUCCGUUGGAGCACUUGUUACUUAAGAUGUGAAUUGCUUCUCUCUCUGUUUUUAGUAUCUCUCUGUUUUUAGUAUCAGCUGUGGCACCUGCCUAUUGAAGAUGCCCUAAGUGGGGAUGCAAGAGUUGUCUAACUGUUUUGGUGGAUUUCUUUUCCUCGUUUGCAGAUUUGUUACAGUCUGUGUGGAGGAUAACUCGUGUACAUUCUCUCCA